GCCUCUGUAGCUCAGUUGGUUAGAGCCCUGCACCGGAAUCGCAGGGCGUAGGUUCAAUUCCUACCAGAGGAC
rnacentral:tRNA from 1 species